rnacentral:lncRNA from 1 species
CUUCCCGACCCCACACUCCUUUACAUUAACUUCAGUCAAUGACAGAAGAGCACCUUUCCUGAAGUGGGAGGAGAGUCUCUUCAGAGCUUGUGGGACAUAGACCUUCUUUCCCCAACAGCAGGCCUGGGUUGACGGUGUACUGGCAAAAACGGUUCUAGUAAACAAAACUUAUUGGCAGCCCACGUUUGCUUGGGGUUGCUAGAUGUUACUGUGUUACACUCCUGAGUUUUUGUGCACCUUAAUCUGGUUUCGGAAACCAGAUUUUCACUUCGACUCAAAUUAUAUUUUUUGUCUGUGUUUUUAUACUGAAACAGAGUGUGUGAUCAUUUUUCAGUUCAGGUGAACUUCAAAACAUGAAAUGUUGUUUGCUGCACCUAGUAAGUUUUAUAAUAUUAUGCUUAUACUCCUAUGCAUGUUCGUUCAUAAGUAAAUCCCACUGUGUUCAAUGGGGCAUACACUCAGGAAAAUAUGCAUAGAAUUGCAGUCUUAGAGUUGUAUAGAUGGGAUCGCAGCUGGAUGGUAGUUGAAUGAAAAUGAUAUAGCUGAGACUGGAAACACUUAUUCUGCCCUUUUAUUCUAAUCAAAUAUGUUUUAUGCAGUAACAUAUUUCCAAAGGGGUAUUGCUGCAAGACUCAGUUCCUUUUACCUGUUGAGGAUUAAGUUGAGGAAUAGUGCUUUUAAUCCAUGUUGGGAACCAGGCCUGACCUUUACAAAUGCUAAUGAGCAUUCUCCUUGCAUAGCCUGUCACAUUCAUUUAUAUUCAUUUUGCUUUCAUUGCUUUUUCCAAUAGAGCUUUCAAGAAUGUCUUGCUUCACCGAAGGUUUCCCAAGAACUGUUUGCAUGUUUCCUGUUAAAUGCAAACGGUAAUAACUGGAAUUUUCUUAGAUAAGUAUCUUUCUCUUUAAUAACACUGUGUCAAAAGUGUUCUUCUCCAGACCUUCCUUUUUUUUCUAGAUGUCUGUUGAGCUUUAUUCCAAGAGAUUAAAGUUAUAAAUUGUGCUACAAACAUAGGCUUCCUCAAAAGUUUGACCGGUAGACGAGCCCAAGUUUGCGGGGAAGCUCAAGAAGGUGGGGUGAGGUUUUGAUUUCAUACUAAGGCCCAGCACAACAGUAAGGUGUGCUGGAACCUUGCCAUUCCCCAGCUCACAGGAAAGGAGAGGGAUGUGUGCUCAUCAGGGAUAUUCAAUAAGCACCAAGAAGUCUUAAUACUUCCAGAGGCCCAGUUUUCACCUAACACUCAAGCCAAACUGGGUGCUAUUGUCCUGUUACUGCACUGGUGUACAAACCCCCUUUUAGCUUGGGACCAAUACAUACAUACCUCAGAGAUAUUGUGGGUUUGGUUCCAAACCACCACAAUAAAGCAAAUACAGUAUCACAAUAAAGCAAGACACACAGUCUUUUAGGUUUCCCAGUGUAUAUAAAAGUUAAGUUUAUACUAUACUGUAGUCUAUGAAGCCAGGCCCCCUGAUUGCAGUCUAAGAGUGUGGUCCUACUUCUACCCAGAUGUUAAUGCCUGUGUGGGUUAGGAUGUGAGUAAAGGCCCCUUUGCUAGCAGAGGAACACUGCUGGGGAAAGGGACUCCAGAACAGCAGAGGUCCCAGCUGUGCUCUAGCAGACAGAUAGCUUGCCAGCAGUAAGCCCUGAAACAGAGCAGGGCACCAUAGCUUGGCACAAACUCUCCUUAAUCUCAGCUAUGCUUUGUUUGAAACUAGCCAACCUCAUGCCAUGGGUUAUGAAACUGGCUUGUUUCAACAACUGUAUUUAAAAUUAGUUACAGUUUAGGAUUUGGACAUCAUUGAGCUCUGGUAAAUAAAAAACAAAAGCACCAGCUCCUAGUCUUCUCCGCUUAGGCUCCCCAAGGCUCACUCCCAUUGUGAUAAGCCAUGGUUUAUCACAAUCAUGCGGGACUACAGUUCUCACCCUCCCUGAGCACUGGCCAUGGUAGCUGAAGCUGAUGGGGGCUGGAGUCCAUGAACAUCUGAAGGGCCAAAGGUUCACUGUCUCUGGUUUAUCAUAUGUAAAAAUGCAUUAGAUGAAUAUGUAUGCUGUGUUUACAAUACUUGGAAUGUGCUGUAAUGGUAUCCCUUCAAAACAUGAGGCCUUCCCCCUCACUUGGGAAUCACUGUGCUAGUUAAUUGAAAUCAGCACAACAAAAAAUCCCUUAGGGAGUUUUAAUGUUGUCCUGGUGGCCAGAAGCCCCACCUAGUUUAGUUCUAUUUAUAUCUUAAGUAGCGUCUGUUGACUGCAUUUGGCAUGAAGAGACUGGAUUCUUCCUUAUUUCUGAAAUCUAUCGUUCACAUAAGAUCAAGGAUUUAACUAUGGAAAAGGAAAGCCAGAGAUUAUUUACAAGUAAAAUUAAAACUAACAUUGAACUCUUUGGUAAGGAAAGCAAAUGCUUCAGAAUAACAAACAGCUGUCUCUAUUCCUCAUCCCCAGCUGUUGGUUUCAUACAACUCUGCAAUAACAACAUCAGAAGUUUUUCAUUCUUUUCCCAUAUGGUACUGUCUCAAAGGAUGUAUCUUACAGCUCACAGGGGAAGCUGCACAGCUCUAAACCCCUCAGAAACUAUGAACAGAGAAAUGCUUGUGCUAUUUUCUCUUUGACACGUUGCCAGUUGACAAAAAAUGAAUCCCGUUCAGAUACUAUGCAAGUGUGAAAAAAUGUAUUGUCUAUUGCUGUGGAGACAUUUUUGAUGCCAAGUUGUGACAGCAGAAAAUCGUAUGGCAAAAUGUUUUUAUUCUUGCUCAGCUGUGCUUAACAUUUAGCUGGAAUUUCAGAGUUCCCAUCCUCAAUGCACAUUCUUCUACUGAAGAAAUUGUUCCAGAAUAAGGGGGGGGGGUUAACUAUUUUAAAUACAGGUUUGUUAAAAUAAACUCAUUUUCAG